UUUGGCCUAUAAUCCCAAAGUGCUAGGAUGACAGGCGUGAGCCACCGUGUCCGGCCUCUGUCUGCCAUCUAACUCGCAGCCUGCUUCUAUCAUGUGCUGGAGAGCUGCCCUGCCUGCUGAAGAAAGCUGAGACCCCAAACGUCUUUUCCUCAGGAAGGUGAAGGUGAACUUGGUGGCCUUUACCUGAUGACUCUGCUGAUAUUUGAUCCCUGAGGGAAUGAGCCACGGUUCAGCACCCAACCCCCACUUGAACUCUGCAGUUUCCCAGUUUCAUUAAGAAGCCCAUUGUUGAGUCUGGCCAUGCGUCAAGGACACGUGGACUCUUGGGGCAACCCCGUUUCUCCAGCAUCCUCCCAGGUGAUGGGUUGGUGUGGCCAGGAGCCAACAGGAAGGGUGUGGGCCAGAGGGGAGAGGCUUCCUAGCAGCUGGCUGCCCUGGAGCUCCGGGAAGGUUUGACCAUCAGGUUUACUGCACCAGGAAUAUAUCCUUCAGUUUCCCCCAGCCAAUCUGUAGAAUAAGGAGAAAUGGAGAGUGUAGGAAGAUAACUGCAGUGUGGACACAGCCUCAGGUUUCUUCUUCGGUAAAGCUGAUGUUUAUUACACAGGGGCAUAGUAAGUGAAGCAUGCACUUCAUUUUUCAUUUUUCCUAGAAUCCAGUGCUGCUAAAAAAAAAAAAAAAAAGGACAACUGUUUACUCACUGAAGAGCAAAUAUAUACGUUGUUGGAUGAGGAAGAAAAAGUUCCGUUGGGACGGGGCGUGGUGGUUCACACCUGUAAUCCCAGCACUGUGGGAGGCUGAGACAGGAGGAUUGCUUGAGCCCAAAAGUUCGAGUCCAGACUGGGCAAGAUGGCGAAACCCCGUCCCUCCAAAAAAUACAAAUAUUAGCUGGGCGUGGUGGUGUGCACCUAGUCCCAGCUACUUGAGAGGCUGAGGUGGGAGGAUCGUUUGAGCCUGGGAGGCAGAGGUUACAGGGAGCAGGAGGUUACAGUGAGAUGAGAUUGCGUCACUGCACUCCAGCCUGGGCGACAGCAAGACCCCGUCUCAGAAAAAAGAAAAAGUUCCAUUGCUCCCCACCACCCAAAUGAAUGCCACCUAAAACAGCUCCUGAAUGGCUGGGGGCCAGAGUGGCGGGUUUUGGGAGAAACAAACCACAGCUGCCAGUUAUGAGGCACCAGCUGCACCACAUCGUUUCAUUAGAUCCCCCGCGAUGCCAUGAGGCAGGAGCUCUUCAACUCACUUUCCACAUGAGGAAAAUAAGGUUUCGGGAAGUUAAGAAACUUGUUUCUGCCACACACAUCUUACCUUCUGAUUUGAUUUUGUGAGAAAAGCCUGGUUUGUUUGUUUGUUUGUUUGUUUUUGCCUGAGCAUGGUGCACAUUUCAAUCUGGAAUGAAGGAGUAUAGUGAGGGGGAGGUGCGGCGCACCUCAGCUGUGCAGGUGUGUGGUGUUACUUAAAGCACACCAUAGCGGCUACUGGGAAGCCUGGGUCCCAGCCCUGUUGCUAAGCUGCUGCUUGACCUGGAGUAGCUCCCUUUUCCCAGCGUGCCUCAGUUUCCUCAUGGGAAAGCUCACUACCAGCUGAAGGUGAGUGGACUGGGGAUGGAGAGGAGGGGACAGAGCUGGGGUGCAGGCCGGCAGACGGGUGGAGUGUGGGAGAGGCUGAGAUGGGGAGAGUCCGGGGAGCAAUGGGGUUCCAAGGAGGGGGCUGAGUCCUGGCCUGGGGAAGUCAGGUUCAAGGCGCUGGCGUCCCAGCUGAUCCCUGGACCUGAACAGGGACCUGUUCCCUGUCCUGCUUGGAAGUCCCAUCCUGGGUGUGGGCAGCCAGAGAAAGGAAGCGUUCUCCCAGUGCUGCCAUGGGCUGCAGCCCUACCCUGCUGGGCUGAGUUCUGUGUUUAAUGGAGGGAGGAGGAGGAGAGGGGUGAAGAGCUGGGCCUUCUGGUAGCUUUUUAUAAUUAUUUCUAAAAUGCUAUAUUUGGAUAUUAUUUUCUGCUUCUACAAAUAAAACAUGCA
rnacentral:lncRNA from 10 species